UGGGGAAUAUUGGACAAUGGGGGCAACCCUGAUCCAGCGAUGCCGCGUGAGUGAAGAAGGCCCUCGGGUCGUAAAGCUCUUUAGGUUGGGAAGAAGGGUGUAUGAGGAAAUGCAUACACUUUGACGGUACCGACAGAAUAAGCACCGGCAAACUCUGUGCCAGCAGCCGCGGUAAUACAGAGGGUGCGAGCGUUAAUCGGAGUUACUGGGCGUAAAGGGCGCGUAGGCGGUAAAAUGUGUGUGAUGUGAAAGCCCCGGGCUUAACCUGGGAAGUGCAUCGCAAACUGUUUAACUAGAGUAGAUGAGAGGGUGGUGGAAUUUCCGGUGUAGCGGUGAAAUGCGUAGAGAUCGGAAGGAACGUCAAUGGCGAAGGCAGCCACCUGGCAUCAUACUGACGCUGAGGCGCGAAAGCGUGGGGAGCGAACAGGAUUAGAUACCCCGGUAGUCC
rnacentral:rRNA from 1 species